UACAGAGGUCUCAAGCGUUGUUCGGAUUUAUUGGGCGUAAAGGGCGUGUAGGCGGCGACGUAAGUCGGGUGUGAAAUUUCGAGGCUUAACCUCGAAACUGCAUUCGAUACUGCGGUGCUUGAGGACUGGAGAGGAGACUGGAAUUCAUGGUGUAGCAGUGAAAUGCGUAGAGAUCAUGAGGAAGACCAGUGGCGAAGGCGGGUCUCUGGACAGUUCCUGACACUGAGACGCGAAGGCGAGGGGAGCAAACGGG
rnacentral:rRNA from 1 species